rnacentral:rRNA from 1 species
AUUGUGUCAGCAGCCGCGCGGUAAUACAGGGGGUGCUAGCGUUGUUCGGAAUUACUGGGCGUAAAGGGCGCGUAGGCGGUUUCGCAAGUCAGAAGUGAAAUCCUGGAGCUUAACUCCAGAACUGCUUCUGAUACUGCGAGGCUAGAGUGCAUUAGAGGAUGGCGGAAUUCCUAGUGUAGUGGUGAAAUACGUAGAUAUUAGGAAGAACACCGGUGGCGAAGGCGGCCAUCUGGGAUGCAACUGACGCUGAGGCGCGAAAGCGUGGGGAUCAAACAGGAUUAGAUACCCUGGUAGUCCACGCUGUAAACGAUAGAUACUCGCCGUAGCUGGUAAUCAAUCCGGCUGUGGCUUAGCUAACGCGUUAAGUAUCUCGCCUGGGAAGUACGGUCGCAAGAUUAAAACUCAAAGGAAUUGACGGGGACCCGCACAAGCGGUGGAUUAUGUGGUUUAAUUCGAAGCAACGCGCAAAACCUUACCUGGCCUUGACAUGCCCUUGACCGGUGCAGAAAUGCAUCUUCUCUUCGGAGCAGGGGACACAAGUGCUGCAUGGCUGUCGUCAGCUCGCGUCGUGAGAUGUUUGGUUAAGUCCAGCAACGAGCGCAACCCUUGUCUUUAGUUGCCACCAUUAAGUUGGGCACUCUAGAGAGACUGCCGAUGUCAAAUCGGAGGAAGGUGGGGAUGACGUCAAGUCCUCAUGGCCUUUACGGCCAGGGCUACACACGUAAUACAAUGCAGGGUACAAAGAGCUGCAAACCAGCGAUGGGGAGCCAACCUCAAAAAACCCUGCUCAGUUCGGAUAGGAGUCUGCAACUCGACUCCUUGAAGCUGGAAUCGCUAGUAAUCGCGGAUCAGCAUGCCGCGGUGAUACGUUCCCGGGUCUUGCACACACGCCCGUCAAUCGUCGACUGCAGCAUGCAAGCUGCACUGGCGUCGUUUACACGUCGUGACUGGGAAACCUGCGUACCACUAUCGCUGCAGCACAUCCCCUUCGCAGCUGCGUAAUACGAGAGCCCGCCACGAUCGACUUCCACAGUGCGCAGCUGAAUGGCGAAUGGGGCUGAUGCGAAUUUUCCUACCAUCUGUGCGAUUCACCGCAUGGAGCUCAUACAAUCGCCUCUGAAGGCGCCCAGUUAAUGC